CAAUAGCGUAUAUUAAAGUUGUUGCGGUUAAAAAGCUCGUAGUUGGAUCUCGGCAGGCAGGGGGUGGUUCGCUCUUAGCGCUACCGCCCCAUUUGCCUGUGUGAUUGGCGGAGGUUUCGGGGUGCUCUUCGUUGAGUGACCCGGGGCGCCGUCAGGUUUACUUUGAAAAAAUUAGAGUGCUCAAAGCAGGCUUUUCACGCUUGAAUAUUCGUGCAUGGAAUAAUGGAAUAGGAACUCGUUUCUAUUUUGUUGGUUUUCGGAAAUCGAGUUAAUGAUUAAUAGGGACAAUUGGGGGCAUUAGUAUUCAGACGACAGAGGUGAAAUUCUUGGACCGUCUGAAGACUAACUACUGCGAAAGCACUUGCCAAGAGUGUUUUCAUUAA
rnacentral:rRNA from 1 species